GAUCAUGCUCAGGAUGAACGCUAGCGACAGGCUUAACACAUGCAAGUCGAGGGGCAGCACAGGUAGCAAUACCGGGUGGCGACCGGCGCACGGGUGAGUAACGCGUAUGCAACUUACCUAUCAGAGGGGGAUAACCCGGCGAAAGUCGGACUAAUACCGCAUGAAGCAGGGGUCCCGCAUGGGGAUAUUUGCUAAAGAUUCAUCGCUGAUAGAUAGGCAUGCGUUCCAUUAGG
rnacentral:rRNA from 1 species